CCAAAACAGUAUUUCCUCAUUUGCUCUCUAUGCUUCAGGGGUAUCACAGUGUGGGCUGCACAGCAGCAGGUACUAAGUCAGAAAGGGUGAAGGUUCCCCGUGUUCCCCCGUGGCCUUGUGUGGGUCAUGCUCCAGAAACCAGGACGGGCCUGAUGCAACCACAGCCACCCUUCUUGGUGGCUCAGUCUGCUUAACAUCAUGUGGAUUUUGCUCUUCCGUUGAUUCUCAUAAUUUAAAAAUGUGGGAAGCUGUGGAAGGCUGCCCCACCCCUGGGGAUCAUUCCAAAGAAAACUGGGAGGUAAGGCUCGCCUCAGUCCUUGCAUGCAGACGUCCGUCAACGGUUUGUACAGUUUCCAGGCUUCUGCUUUCAUUUCAUUCCUUGGGACUUGAAUAUUCAAAUCUGGCAUAUUCUUGAAGCCUGAGAGAUGGAUUUAGAAGAGAUUUUGUUUAAGUCACUUGAUCCUAAAAACAGGGCACACCCUUCUUAAUAAAUAACUUUGAAGAAAUUGUGGUUAUAGAUCCUGUGAUUAGUUUGGUAGAGGAAGAUGUGCAGGAAUAAACACAGUGAAAUCAUGAGGGCAAAGUAAUGUCCUCAAAGAAUGAGAUAUUUCUCAUUUUUCUCUACGUCCCUGAAAUGUCCUGAAAAAGCAAGCAUUCAGGGCAGGAGCUUUGCAAUCAGUUACAAAACGUCAGUGUCUAUUGAAGAAGGUUCAAAUGCAUGGAAGCCUCAUGCAUUUUUCUUUUUUUUUGGCCGUUCCUAGACCUCCUAAAUAAGGCAUUUUUCCCUAGAGUAGGCUCCCGGGCAGCAUGUCAGGGCAGUGGCUGAGUCUGCUUGCCGGGGGUCAGGAAGGCUGUUCUUCCAGGAAGGGCUGCAGAGACCCUGGGAACAGGACUAGGCUGCUCACAAGUAUGAAGAGAAUGUCGGGAGAGGAAGUGGUGGCUGUGAGUCAGCAUGAGUCAUCUCGUUCCAAUGAGAAUGAAGACUGAGGUGUGCGCCUUUUUUUUCUCUCUCUCACUUUUUAAAUUUUUUUUAUUUUUUUGAGUCUCAAUCGUGUGGACAUCACUGGGAAUGGAGGGAAAUAACUGACUGAAUGGUCGUUGCUUUUAAGUUUCAAACCGACAUUCCAGGCGGGUUGUGUCUGAGCCAGCCUCGGGCUUUCAGACCUUCACAGCCUGGUCCUGAGAAGGUAGAGCUCUCAGCUUCUCCCUGAAUAACUGGGAGAUGAAACAGGAAACUUUAUGACACACUUGCUUGAAAAUGACACAGGACUCAGCCCCUCUGCAUCACCUCUACCUGCUGCCCACAGCCGAAUGCGGGGGAAGGGCUGGCCCUGGGACCUGAUUCCAACCGCCGUGGACUCGACGUUCAGUGUGAUGUGUCUGCCAUACUGUGGUCAUGGGCUAGUCUGGUCGGUUUCCUAUGUAGCUGGCCACUCUCAGUGUAUCUUUGCCCCUUUUCCUUCAUUAAAAGCAUAACUAAAGAAAAAUGGAUUGUUUACUUAUUGUUGCUGUUCAUCCGCUAAGUUGUGUCUGACCCUUUGAGACCCCAUGGGCUGUAGCACUCCAGGCUCCUCUGAACUCCACGAUCUCAAUAGCUCUGUUUAAAUCUCAAUGUAAAGGAGACCAAAUAAUGUUUGAGAUUCAUUUCUCUAGGACCACAGAGAAACCAUGUCAUAACCACACAGCUCAUUAUGACAGCUUCUAGAAGAAGUGUGUUGAACUUGAAUCACUUAUUACUCAGUCUGGUCUGCCCUGCCUUUUCUUCUCUCUCUGGAAGCCCUCUCUUGAAUCAGUACUGGCAAGUUGACACUUGAGAAAAAUCCUGGGAGAUAUUUGGAAGUCUCUUCCCACACCCUCUCUGAUCAUGGCCUACAGACGGUGGCCCUGAAUCGUCACCAACCUUGAGCUUGCUACUGCAGACUUCUGUCUUCUCAGCUGCCCCUCUCCUUCCCUCUGCACAUCAGCCACUCAUUCACUGUUUCAU
ensembl:lncRNA